rnacentral:sRNA from 1 species
UGACAUAAGUGUCAAAAGUCAAAAUGCGUUCCUGCUUGCAGGAAAAGCAUGUUGACCUUAUGACACGCUGAAACAUGCGGAUUCCGAAUGUUUCAAGGAUUGCGAGAGAUGCGUUAGCAACGAAGCAAUCCGUAUGUCA